GAUGAACGCUAGCUACAGGCUUAACACAUGCAAGUCGAGGGGCAGCACAGUGUAGCAAUACACGGGUGGCGACCGGCGCACGGGUGCGUAACGCGUAUCCAACCUUCCCGUUACUCUUGGAUAGCCUUCCGAAAGGGAGAUUAAUACAAGAUGGUAUUCAAAUUCCGCAUGUUAUUUGAAUUAAAGAUUUAUCGGUAACGGAUGGGGAUGCGUGACAUUAGGUAGAUGGCGGGGUAACGGCCCACCAUGCCUACGAUGUCUAGGGGUUCUGAGAGGAAGGUCCCCCANACUGGAACUGAGACACGGUCCAGACUCCUACGGGAGGCAGCAGUGAGGAAUAUUGGUCAAUGGUCGGAAGACUGAACCAGCCAAGUAGCGUGAAGGAUGAAGGUUCUAUGGAUUGUAAACUUCUUUUAUACGGGAAUAAAACCACCUACGUGUAGGUGCUUGUAUGUACCGUAUGAAUAAGCAUCGGCUAACUCCGUG
rnacentral:rRNA from 1 species